UACGUAGGGGGCUAGCGUUGUCCGGAAUCAUUGGGCGUAAAGCGCGUGUAGGCGGUCCGGUAAGUCCGCUGUGAAAGUCGAGGGCUCAACCCUCGAAUGCCGGUGGAUACUGUCGGGCUUGAGUACGGGAGAGGCGAGUGGAAUUCCUGGUGUAGCGGUGAAAUGCGCAGAUAUCAGGAGGAACACCGAUUGCGAAGGCAGCCCCCUGGGCCAACACUGACGCUCAGGCACGAAAGCGUGGGGAGCAAACAGG
rnacentral:rRNA from 1 species